rnacentral:lncRNA from 1 species
GUAGGUAAGGGUAUUGUCCAGCCAGUAGGGGGGAUUGUUUUCAUCCUGGCUGUACUAUUGUGAAUCUUCUGCCAGGCAAUUAUAUUUAUCCAUCCUUUCCAACACCUGUCUUCUAACAAUUUAAGUAAAACAACAAUAAGGUUCAAAUAUUGGUGAUUUAUAUUAAAACUUGUCUUUUUUUUUAGAUUAGUCUAUGUGUGCAUCAGAACAUGGUGAAUAAAGUUACUAAAAAGAGCUUAAGGAGUAACUGGCAAAAUUAAAUAACUGGCAAGAAACUGGAACAAUUAAAUACUGAAGAGUCACUUUUGGCAGGAAAGUGUUCAGAACAGCAGACUCUCAGAGCAAGCAGGAGGAGGCAUUAAGCUAUAGGCAAUCACAUUACUUGAAGAGAAAAGAUGUCUUCCCUUCUGUACCAACUCUUUAAUUAUACAUGUGGGAACCAGUUUCAUCCUUCUACUCUGAGCUGCAUGAAAUCCAGGGCUUGGGUUCACCUCAUCUGAUCAAGGAGCAUGAGAUGCAGAGGAAAAGAAGAAGUAAUGCAGUUAAUUAUAUAGACAUUUUUAAAGGUAUAAAAUAAACCUAAACCCAAACUUGGGUUGAUGACCUUCUGCGGGAGCAGUUUUCUUCAAGUGUGAUAUGAGAGUCUGCAGGUUGAACAAGUAUUAAUAUUGAAAGGAAAUAUAGCAGGAAUUCUGAUAAUCACCCUUUGUAUUCAAGAAUGCCAUUGGUAAGGAAUGCCUGUGUAUAUGUGAAU